rnacentral:rRNA from 1 species
GGGGAAUAUUGGUCAAUGGACGCAAGUCUGAACCAGCCACGUCGCGUGAAGGAAGACGGCCCUACGGGUUGUAAACUUCUUUUAUACGGGAAUAAAGUGCCCCACGCGUGGGGUUUUGCAAGUACCGUACGAAUAAGGAUCGGCUAACUCCGUGCCAGCAGCCGCGGUAAUACGGAGGAUCCGAGCGUUAUCCGGAUUUAUUGGGUUUAAAGGGUGCUCAGGCGGGCUAUUAAGUCAGCUGUGAAAGUUUACGGCUCAACCGUGAAAUUGCAGUUGCACCUGGUCGUCUUGAGUGCAGUAAAGGUGGGCGGCAUUCGUGGUGUAGCGGUGAAAUGCUUAGAUAUCACGAAGACCUCCAAUUGCGAAGGCAGCUCACUGGAGUGUAACUGACGCUGAUGCUCGAAAGUGUGGGUAUCCAACC